CAUCCGAAUGCAUCGAUCGAAGCCGUUGCCCAAGCACGAACUUGUUCGUUCCAAAACAAGAAAGGACGCCAUGAACCAAUCGCAGAUGCCAGCGACUCAACCGGGUAAAAAUUUAUGUCACGCAAAAACACGACGAAAAGAACCAAUCUUGGAAGAAAAGACCGCCAAGGGAGAGUAGGUACCUGAUUUGGGCGUCGCGACGGGAGCGCCGUUCUCUUGCGAUGACAGGACAGCAGCCAUCGAUGGCGGAGCUCGCCGGGACAAUCGGAGAGACCAGACCCUGCGAAAAGUCGGAUUGGGAGCCCCAGAUUGGUAAGUGGUGAAAAACCUAACCCUAGAUUUUUCCACGGUUUGGAGGAGACGAGUUGCGCGAAGGGAAUUAGGGCUCAGACAUUCCAUGCGCUCUCGCAAGCGGCCCGUUCCCACCAAAUUAAGUUGGUGCGGUAGGCAACACAGCCUGCGUAUAUAUAUAUAUAUAUAUAUAUAUAU
rnacentral:lncRNA from 1 species